GCAGUGAGGUGGGUUAGCAAGCUGCCUCUCCGCUGCUAACUGGAUGCAGCCACUUGAGGUGGGAUGGGAGCAUGGACCUGCAGUGCUGGUGGUGAGCUGCACCUCAGCAUGAUUGGGAUGGUGAGGAAAACCAAAUAUGACACGUGUGUGCUAAAUCCGUGGGAAGCUCCUAUCCUAGUGGAUCUGCUUUGGGAGGACUCAUGUAUUUUGUUUUGCUCAAUUCACCACAAGGCCGGGGAUGGCAUCAUACACCGGUAACAUGUUGCUGCCAUCUGGUACCUCUGUGGGUCCGUUCUUUGGCUGUUACCUGUAUUGGGGUUGUAAUAAUCCCCGUCGUUCACGAGAACUUUGUUAAAGUGAACCACGCCAACAUCACUGGAGAAAGGCUUCUGUGUGAGCCCAGCUGAAAAGGACACCAGAGAGGCCGCAGCAGCAGCAGGUCCUAAAAUGGGUACACCACUCAGCCUAGCCCUUGAGGGAUGCCAGAAUUAGCAGACUACAUACUGCUGGCCCAGGCCCCAGGUGCCUCACCAUAAAAAAAGACAUUAACUGAGUACCGUAACACUUCCCCCUUGGCCACAGCCUCCCAGCUCUGGCUGAGGAGUCAGAAAAUGGGUAUUGCCUACAAGUUGUUUUUCCUUCUAAGGAAGAGGUACGUGGCUCAUAAAUGCUGCAAGUGGAAAUCCUGCCAUACCUGAAUCCAGCAAGGCUCUGCCAUAAAAUUUCCAUGGGAUUCAGGCUGCCCCUGGACAUCCCUGCUCUAUAUCACCAUCAUAGUGGCAACAGAAGUGCCGAAGGUCUAUAGCUCAUGCCAGCUUUCCUAGUGAAGUUGAGAAGCUGCAUACAGCUCUGAUCUCCUCUGCUAAAGAGGUGUGAAAACAUCUACAAAAGAAACAAGUAUUCCAA